rnacentral:lncRNA from 1 species
CCAGAAUGCCUCAGUAUGUUUCGUUUCCGCUUCAAAAGCGGUGGGAAAAUUCAACAUGGCGUCUCCCAGUGCUGCACGGAGUGAGCUGGAUUCGAGUAGCGAGGAGGACGAGGAGAGGUUCCGGGAGGCAGCUUGGACCUUUGAAACUAAUGGGACUACUGUCCGAAAGCCGGGAGGAGGUGCUGGGGAGCAGAGGAGUGGGGUGCCUGUGGAACAAGCAAGCCGGCGGUAUGUCUCACCUCUUCAGUCCUGCUCCCCCCUUUUUAAAGCUUUUUAUUUGAACAGAAAUACAAUACAAACAAGAGUACAUAACAUAACAUAUCAAAAAACAAUGUCAGGGGUACGUAUUACAAUACAAACACACAUUAUGAAAAAGGUUUAAAGAUAAAGUCUGCACUGCUUUCAUGGUUUUAUAUUUCGAAAUAGUCUGCAAAUAAGCCUUUACGUCUAUUUCAUCUAUUUAUGUCUU